AACUAUUUCCUACUUUGAAUUCUCGCCAUGAGCAUUGAAAAUACGGUGAGAAGUUAGUUCGAAUAACCGAGAUUCGAUCGUGCAGUUUCGGUCACGAUUUCAGACACUUAUUAAUCAGUUGGCGACUAAUUACAGCGCGAUGUACGGAAGAACCGACACACGUACCAGUCCAAAUUCGCACCAAACCAGCGAACACACACACGCGAAGUUUCUUUAUAAAGGCAAACCGGCAAGAGAGAGAAAGAGAGAGACUGAUAGAAAUGUCGUGACUCCUCGAUACACGCGGUUGUACAAGCGUUCGACAUAAAUCAUGACACACUUACGACUAAUCUAUCCGUAUCGUUGACACGCGAUGAGAGAAGCAGACGAAUGAAAAAAACCUCGUGUACAUUGUGACACGAAAGUUAUGACACGUUCGACUGAUAAAAAGCAAAAAAAUGACAAAAAAAAAAAACAUCGAAAACAAAUCUGCUGUGAUUUAAUCGUGUUUUCUUAUGUUUCUUUAUUCAUGAGAAGAUUUAUAAAUACUCUCACCGAUCGUCCAACAUCGAAUGCAAUCUUUACCUUCGGAGAUGCUCGAAAUGGCGACGUCAAGGUCCUCAACUUCCGCGUAUACGUUUAUUUUUACUUUUAUUUUGCUCUGUUGUUUUUCUCCUUCUUGCAAGGAGUCUCCUUCCCAUUUCGAGCCUCAUUUCCUUGCCUAUCAUUAUAAAGAAUAGCGGUACGAAGGGAGAUCGCACAACCUCAUCUAUCCUGUCGCUCCCUCUCUCUCUCUCUCUCUCGUAUUCUUUACUCGAAACACUGUGACCGAAGCAACUUUGCGAUAUAAUAUUGUCGAGAGUUUACAUUCGCCUCGCUGAGCUCAAGAGCGAUCUAUGUGACCACCGACCGACUCACACCCGCCAUAUUUGGACUUAAUCAUCGGCGCGGAGACUCAUCGUCAUAAUUUACAGAAUUCUUCGCAACGGCUCAUUACAGAGGAACUUUUUGUACGUUCGUACGUAUAUUUUCGUAUCGACUGCAACGGAUCCGUGGCUCGCCCAUCAUCCGGAGGCACUUUUUCCAAGUUGAUAAAUUCCAGGUGAUAAAUCAGCUGGAAUUCAUCCGAAAUAAAAAUAAACUCAGAAACGCAGAAGAAAUUCAUCGAAAUUUGUCGUGUUUUUUCGCACUAGAAAACUUCGGUGUUGCCGGCUCACGACUUAGCCAGGAUUCAUCAUCGAAUUUUAGUUGAGUUUUAUCAUCAACGAGAGAAAAAAAGGUCAAAAUUCAUCAUUCUAACACGAACUUUUCUCCUUUUAAUCACAAAUAAUAUUGCUGGUUGUUCAAAAUGUUUAGAUGUUCAGGUGAUUUGUGAAAUAUAUUAAACGUUUAUUAUCUAGUGUGAAUAUUGCCGGUUUAUAAUCGAUGCUUUACUAAACCAUAAGAAACUAAAAAUGAGUGAAAAAUAGUUUGAUGCUUCUUCUGUUUUGUUGCUGAAUUUUUAUUCCAUCAAUAAAUCUUGAUGAAAUAAGAUCACGACAUCGACCUAUUCAACCUGUAAAUGGAUAUUUCACUCAUUCAUUAGUGCAAAAAGAUCAAACCACGAUUUUAGUCGUCUCACAAAAUUCAAGUUGGAUUUCACAUGUCGAUUUUGUGAGAUCUUGUUGUACGUAGAAUUCUAAUGUGUUCUCGUUCUCAUCAAUCUAUUCGAAAUAAACAAUUAUUUAUUGUGA
rnacentral:lncRNA from 1 species